rfam:Acyrthosiphon pisum strain LSR1 Contig14082, whole genome shotgun sequence.
AAAAAGGUCCUUAUUAGGACCACCAAAUUUAUCACUUCUUUUUUUA